AUAAGCUGAUGAAUCCCAAAUAGGACGAAACACUCGUCCUGAAU
rnacentral:hammerhead_ribozyme from 1 species